AUUUCAUAGGAGAUGUGGGGUGAUCUCCACAAUUGUUUGUGUAGCAGCUUCUUGCACUUCAGAGGAUUCUACAGUAUUGAGGACUCCCAAGUAUUCCCCAUUAACACAAACACAGUGAAAAGUGCCACCACUUCUGGACAGAGCGGCCACAGCAGAGACCGGAAAAAAAGAAAAGGAAAAACUGUGCAUCCAAACUUCGUACAGAGGCCUAUUGUUAAACUGUGCUGUUUUCAGUACGGGCAGAAUUAUGAACUAAGCAUUUCAAAGCAAUCCCAUCCAGAUGAGAGUUUCAAACAAGGCCAGGCCUAAAUCUAAAGCAAAUGUCUGAUCCUAAUUGUGUUGUGGUCCUGCCCAGUCGUCUAUGAAUGACAAUAGGCCAGACCAUGGAGCCAGUAAUUAAGCUGUGCAGUAGAAUCCACUCUCCCAGCCCAGGUCUUGCUCCGUCUUAGGCACAGGAUUCCAAGUCCUAAUGACCCUCUUAAUCAUGCAAACACACAUAUGCAAAAAAACAAAAACAACAGCAAAAAAGGAAAACUUUAAUUACCAUGAAUUGUACUUUUUUUUACGUGGCUUUUGUUCUGUGUCAAUUAAAAAAUUCUAAUGUGUUGAUAAUUAUGCGUAUAAAAAAUAAUUGCGAAACAAAUCAUUUUAAUUUCAACUUGGUACACAAUGUUUGCAGUUUAAACAUGGUUUCGUCCCUAAUAUUGUGAACAAUUUGUACAGUGUGUCAUUUUAAUAAAAUAUGAAUGACUGGUA